rnacentral:rRNA from 1 species
UACGAAGGGUGCUAGCGUUGUUCGGAAUUACUGGGCGUAAAGCGUGCGCAGGCGGCUUCUCAAGUCAGGGGUGAAAGCCCAGAGCUCAACUCUGGAAUUGCCUUUGAGACUGAGUGGCUUGAGUACGAGAGAGGUGAGUGGAAUUCCCAGUGUAGAGGUGAAAUUCGUAGAUAUUGGGAAGAACACCGGUGGCGAAGGCAGCUCACUGGCUCGUAACUGACGCUCAUGCACGACAGCGUGGGGAUCAAACAGG